ACCUCACCCUCCUUCAAACUAUCCCCUUCAACCUUUGGUCUCUCCAUUUGAACCCUAAAAUUUCAUAUCCAAAUUUUCAAGCUCUCUCGCCGUGCAGUCUCCUGUCGUCGUCGUCUCUCGAGCUCUCUCUCACAUCGGCGCCGUCUCUCACAUCGUCGCCGUCUCUCGAGCUCUCGAGCUGUGUUGUCUUGUUCGCUAUUUCACUGUGUUGUUCUUGCUACGUCGUGUUUCAAUCGACAAUUGCUCCGCCGCGUGGAAUCCUACACGUCCCUCCCGCUACGUCCAAACCGCUGGUCUUGUUGCGCUUAUUAAGCAGAAGUUCCCAAAUUUCAGUCCUCCAGCCAUUGGUUCUACACUUUCUACUAUUGUGUCUUAGAAUGAUAAGAGUGGUGGACUGAUAAUGGCUCAAUGAUCAUGUGCUUUUCCAGAUCUAAGCCAAACCCCGACUACUCCUUUUGACAUGGUGUUCAGAUCAAUAUUCAUGGAAGAAAUCCAGAGAUUUGCUUGAGAAGGUUGUUGGGCAAAGUGAUCUUACUGGUUAUAGAGUUCCUUGCUGCUAAGGAUGAUCUAACUCCAUAUCCAAGGGCAGUCCAAGAUUCAGUCAAGGUUACUUAGGAGUUGGGAAUAAAGGCACCUAUUCACGUAAGUAAGAAAUUAUGCGAUUCAAGUAACAUGUAUAAUAAAAUUGUUAGGGCUGCAGAACACUCUCAUUUGAGCAUCCCAGAAACUGAAUUUUGGAAGAAAAGAAAGCAAUACCACCAGCUUCUGCAAAACUCUCUUAUUUUUGCUUUAGUUGGGACCACAACGACAUUUGUUGGUUUGGCAGCAUGUCAUGCAUAUGCAGUGAAGAAGAACUCUUCUGCCUAGUCAUCAAACAACUUAAAUUAUGGUAACAGUUUUGACAUAAUUGUGAAUUUGUGUUAAGUAUUGUAUACAAAACCUCAUCGGACGACCUUAAGUUAGAGUCUUUUAUGCAUAAUAAUCACUAAUUUCAUUUAUUCUUUGUUAGGUUAAGACUUGUUAUAUGUAGUUAGUUUCCUCAAUAUGAUUGUUGGUUUCAAUCUGAUUUUCGUUGUGAACUUUUUAGGGAAAAUUACAUUGAUUUGAUGAAAUUACAGUUAUCGGUCUUUUAAUUAUAGCAUGCUUGAAACGUUUCACACAUACACACACACUUUUUGAUCAAUUAACUCUAUACGAGCCAGUCUUUAGUUGAACAGUCACAAAAUAUAUACACGUCAAUGUCUCAAUACCACUAAACUCUUGUUUAGUUUAAAAGGAUUGCUGUAAGAAAUGAACCCAAAAAUUGUCAAUGUCUCAAUGCCACUGAACUCUUAUUUGAUACUUACAAGGAUGGUAUUGUAUAGUCUUUGGUAGCUCUUUUCUUUUGAUAAGUUUAGGACCUAGCUUAUUUGGCUUGUUGAAUAUGAACUCUAAAAAUGCAUAUUAAAACUAAUCAUGAAAAGAUGUAUAUAUGAAUGUAUAACUAUAUAUGUAUAUAUGAAUGUAUAACUCUAUAUUGAAUAUGAACUCUAUAUGAAUGAUUUGAGAAGUAGAACAAUGAGGG